rnacentral:misc_RNA from 1 species
GGAAGUAAAAGUCGUAGCAAAGUCUCCGUAGGUGAACCUGCGGAGGGAUCAUUACAGAGUUCAUGCCCUACCGGGUAGAUCUCCCACCCUAUGUUAUUAUUACUUUGUUGCUUUGGCGGGCCGUUAGGCUCCGGCCCGACUACCGGCCCCGGCUGGUAAGCGCCCGCCAGAGGACCCAAAACCCUGAAUAUUAGUGUCGUCUGAGUACUAUAUAAUAGUUAAAACUUUCAACAACGGAUCUCUUGGUUCUG